AUUGAACGCUGGCGGCAGGCUUAACACAUGCAAGUCGAGCGAGCGGCGGACGGGUGAGUAAUGCCUGGGAAACUGCCUGAUGGAGGGGGAUACCUAAUGGAACCGGUACCAAAUACCGCACACCAUCCGAUCAGCCCGGAUGGGAUUAGCUAGUAGGUGGGGUAAUGGCUCACCCAGGCGACGAGCCCUAGCUGGUCUGAGAGGAUGACCAGCCACACUGGAACUGAGACACGGUCCAGACUCCUACGGGAGGCAGCAGUGGGGAAUAUUGCACAAUGGGCGCAAGCCUGAUGCAGCAAUGCCGCGUGUGUGAAGAAGGCCUUCGGGUUGUAAAGCACUUUCAGCGAGGAGGCGUUACUCGCAGAAGAAGCACCGGCUAACUCCGUGCCAGCCGCCGCGGUAAUAC
rnacentral:rRNA from 1 species